rnacentral:lncRNA from 1 species
CAGAUGCUAGGAAGACGUGUGAAGGGAAACAGUUAACAUUUCUACACUGCAACUUUUUCACUUGAGACUCACAGCAUUCCUAUGAGAAAGAUCUGCAGACGAAGGUCCAAAGGAAGAAGAUUUUGUUGAAGACUGAAAAGAGAAAUAUACUUGGUGGACAGAGAUAACUCCUUUCAGCACAGAGGUCAGAUGACAAGGCUGCAGCAUGAAGAAGAUGCCAUAUUGUGGAAUUGGGUGUCAAGGAGAAGACAUUCGAAGGUGCAUGAACAGAGUGAAGGUGGUGCAAGCAAGUGCAGAGGAGCUCUAGGAGGUCGGCUCCCUGUCACUGUCUGGUCUACUGUGUCGUACCACCCAUGCCCAGCACCUAGCCUUGCACAUUAUAGGACUUAAUGCAAACUUCUUGACUGAAAGAAAAAUGAAGAAACUCAGCCUUGGGAGA